rnacentral:rRNA from 1 species
GACGAACCGUGCGAACGUUGUUCGGAAUCACUGGGCUUAAAGGGCGCGUAGGCGGGCUGCCAAGUCCGGGGUGAAAUCUUUCGGCUCAACCGGAAAAUAGCCCUGGAUACUGGCAGUCUGGAGGGAGGUAGGGGCAUGUGGAACUUCCGGUGGAGCGGUGAAAUGCGUAGAUAUCGGGAGGAACACCGGUGGCGAAGGCGGUUCUCUAGUACGGUACUGACGCUAAGACGCGAAAGCGUGGGGAGCGAACAGG